GUUCUCGUUGUGUUGCCCAGGCUGAUCUUGAACUCCUGGCCGCAAGUGAUCCUCUUGCCUUGGCCUCCCAAAGUGCUAGGUAUAUAGGCAUGUACCACCUCACCCAGCCAAUCACAGGAGUUUUGAUCCUUGAAAUAUGGGACUCACUGCUGUUUUAAAAUUAUUUUGUUCCCUUUCAUUUCCCAGAUUAGUCUAAGAAUUUUUGUGAUGGAAGCUAUUUUCCACACAUCCUGUGUACUAAAUGGACUGCAUAGCAGGUAGCAGAGGGAAAUAAUUUUCUAGCAAUGAAAGGGCACAGGUUAAGAAAGUGUUUUUCUAGCCCUGGGGUAUUUAUUUAAAGGAAGAAGAUUCUUGGGUACUAUCCCAGAGCUCAAAUAGAAUCGAAGUACAUGGGAAUAGGUAGAAACUUGCAGGUUAGACGUACAUUCCAGGUGAUUCAUGUGCGUACUAAUGUCUGAGAACCACUGGGUUAGGGGGUUAGGGGAAGAAGAUGUUUACAUCAAAAUGCUGAUAGAAUUAUCAAAUCUAAAAAGGGGAUUUUGUGUAAGAUUCUUGUGUAUUAUUGCAGGUAAGUAAUCAUUCUUACUUUGCGUUUUAAUAAAAUGAUCAGUAGGCCAGGCGUGGUGGCUCAUGCCUGUAAUCCCAGCACUUUGGGAGGCCAAGGUGGGUGGAUCACUGGAGGUCAGGAGUUCGAGACCAGCCUGACCAACAUAGUGAAACCCCGUCUCUACUAAAACUACAAAAUUGGCCAGGUGUGGUGGCACAUGCCUGUAAUCCCAGCUACUUGGAAGGCUGAGGCGGGAGAAUCGCUUGAACCUGGGAGGUGGAGGUUGCAGUGAGCUGGGAUCACGCCAUUGCACUGGGCAACGAAAGCAAAACUCCAUCUCAAAAAAAAAAAAAAAAGUUUAGUAAAUUAAUUCUUCAUUCUUCAAUUGAGGCUUUCAUUCUACAGGUGAUGUGUUAUUCAUUGAAACAUUUGAUAGGUAAUUUUAGACCUUUUAUGCAAGUGCUGUCCAAUAGAAGUAUAAUGCAAGCCACACAUGUACAAUUUAUAAUUUUCUGGUACACACAUUACUUUUUUGUAAGUCACAAGUUAAAUUAGUUUUAAUAAUAUAUUUUAUGUAACUGAUAUAUUCAAAAUAUUAAUCAAAAUAAAAUUAUUAAGAUAUUUUAAACAUUUUAAAAUAUAAUUUCAGUUUUUUUUUUUUUUUUUUUUAGAGACAGAGUCGUGCUCUGUCUCCCAGGCUGGAGGUACAAUGGCACAAUUACUCACUAUAGCCUCAACCUCCUGGACUCAAGCAAUCCUCCCGUCUUAGCCUCCCAAGUACCUGUUACCACAGGCGACACCACCAUGCCUGGCUAAUUUUUUAUUUUUUGCAGAGAUGGGGUCUUGCUGUGUUGCCGAGACUGAUCUUGAACUCCUGGCCUCAAGUGAUCCUUCUGCCUCGGCCUCCCAAAGUGGUGGGAUUACAGGCUUGAGCCACUGCACUUGGCCCACAAGACAUUUUGUGAUCCUUUUCUUCUAAGUCUUCAAAAUCUGAUGUGUAUUUUGCACUUAUACCACACCUCACUUCAGAUGAGCCACGUCUCAAGUGCUCAGUAGCCACGUGUGGCCAACAGCUACUGUUCCAGAUGGCACAGUUCUAUAAGAUCACCUCCAUGAAAUGGAUAAGCAUUUAUGCAACCUGGAUGAAGUGUGGGGUAGGACAAACUGGCAAAAUAAAGAAAUGUUUUCUUUCAGGAGGCAGUUAUAUCUGUGAACUUUGAAAGUUACUGUUUCUGUUAACUUAUCAGUUAAUGGAUAUUUAUCUGAUUUAAGCGUCUUUAGAAUUGGAGAUACUAAAGUUGGACUUAAGCCAUUAUCACAGUUAGAAAUAUAUAUUAACCUAUAAACGUUCAUAAUAGUUUGCUGCCUGAGAUGGGGUAGUUAUUAAAUAUCUUCAGUGUUAAAGAAAAUCAUCAGGCCAGGCGCAGUGGCUCAUGCCUGUAAUCCCAGCACUUUGGGAGGCCGGGGCGAGUGGAUCACCUGAGGUCAGGAGUUCGAGACCAGCCUAACCAACAUGGUGAAACCCCAUCUCUACUAAAAAUGCAAAAAUUAGCUGGGUGUGGUGGCGCACGCCUGUAAUCCUAGCUACUCAGGAGGCUGAGGCAGGAGAAUCGCCUGAACCCAGGAGGCGGAGGUUGCAGUGAGCUGAGAUCGCACCAUUGUACUCCAGCCUGGGUAAGAAGAGCGAAACUCCAUCUCAAAAAAGAAAAAAAAAAAGAAAAGAAAAUAGUCAAUGACUUGUUAUUUAAAUGAUCUUUUUUUCUUUGGACUGCUGUUAAUAGGUGGCUACAGUUUCAGAAAAGUCACGUAUAAUGGAACUGGAGAAAGACCUAGCAUUGAGAGUACAGGAAGUAGCUGAGCUCCGAAGAAGGCUAGAGUCCAAUAAGCCUGCUGGGGAUGUGGACAUGUCACUUUCCCUUUUGCAAGAGAUAAGCUCUUUGCAAGAAAAGUUAGAAGUCACCCGUACUGACCACCAGAGAGAAAUAACUUCUCUGAAGGAGCAUUUUGGAGCCCGGGAAGAAACUCAUCAGAAGGAGAUAAAGGCUCUGUAUACCGCCACGGAAAAGCUUUCCAAAGAGAACGAGUCAUUGAAAAGCAAGCUGGAGCAUGCCAACAAAGAGAACUCAGAUGUGAUAGCGCUAUGGAAGUCCAAACUGGAGACUGCCAUCGCGUCCCACCAGCAGGCGAUGGAAGAACUGAAGGUAUCUUUCAGCAAAGGGCUUGGGACAGAGACGGCAGAAUUUGCUGAACUAAAAACACAAAUAGAGAAAAUGAGACUAGAUUACCAACACGAAAUAGAAAAUUUGCAGAAUCAACAAGACUCUGAACGGUCUGCUCAUGCUAAAGAGAUGGAAGCCUUGAGGGCUAAACUGAUGAAAGUUAUUAAAGAAAAGGAAAACAGUCUGGAAGCCAUCAAGUCGAAACUGGACAAAGCAGAAGACCAGCAUCUCGUAGAAAUGGAAGACACGUUAAACAAAUUACAGGAAGCUGAAAUAAAGGUAAAGGAGCUAGAGGUACUGCAAGCCAAAUGCAAUGAACAAACCAAGGUUAUUGAUAAUUUUACAUCACAGCUCAAGGCUACUGAAGAAAAGCUCUUGGAUCUUGAUGCACUUCGGAAAGCCAGUUCCGAAGGUAAAUCGGAAAUGGAGAAACUUAGACAGCAGCUUGAGGCAGCUGAGAAACAGAUUAAACAUUUAGAGAUUGAAAAGAAUGCUGAAAGUAGCAAGGCUAGUAGCAUUACCAGAGAGCUCCAGGGGAGAGAGCUAAAGCUUACUAACCUUCAGGAAAAUUUGAGUGAAGUCAGUCAAGUGAAAGAGACUUUGGAAAAAGAACUUCAGAUUUUGAAAGAAAAGUUUGCUGAAGCUUCAGAGGACGCAGUCUCUGUUCAGAGAAGUAUGCAAGAAACUGUAAAUAAGUUACACCAAAAG
rnacentral:sRNA from 1 species